UUUUAUUAUUUUUACCUUUCCAACAAUAUUUAGAAUAUAAUUUUUGGUUAAAUAUUGUAAAAUUUAAAAAUCUAAACUGGUAAAAGUAUUUUGAUUAUAAUUUACUUUUAACUCAAGCACAAAAUAAAAUGCACAUUCGUUAAGUAGCAACAGUUUUUUUACUGCGUUUAGUUAUGGCGCGGUGAUAAGCCCUCUUAAAAUACAAAUUCUUUUCCGGGAGAUGCUAAACAACCAACAGGUUAAAUUAUCAUAAAGAGCUCAUAAGCUGAUAGAACCAGGACUGCGUUCAAAAUCGUAGCUGCUAGCCUAGCCGCUAGGUCGUAGAUAUCUAUGUCUAUUGAACGGACCGCUAGGUUAGCCGCUAGCUCUCAGAUUUGAAGUUAGAAAUUUUUAACUAAAGACUAUAUACAUAAUUCGUUAAUUUCAAGCGGAAAUAUACAUGUUAAAAUUCAUUUUAGCUGAAAGGAUGAACAAAAUAUCACUAAAUAAAUAGAUUUCUUGUUUGUUACAAAGUGUAACUUAGGUGGCCAUCUUGAAUUUGAUGCUUAGCAUAAAAUAUUUAGGCUACGAAUAUCUACGUAGCGGCUAGGCUAGCCUAUCGUUCAACUACGUAGCUCUACGUAGCAGCUACGAUCUUGAACGCAGUCCUGUGUUCGAACCUUAUUUUAUCAUACUAUAUUUACAAUUACAUCUUUAUUUUACGUUAAAAUAUGUUCAAAUCACGCCCCGUCUUCUACUGUUUUAUAGUUCCCUGUAUGUAGUAUUUAACGUCAUAAAAAAAAUUUGAGAAAAAGAACGAUUUUUAUAAAAUAUUUGUGUAUUGUCACAAACGAUUAUGUCCAGGUGCAUGGAUUUCGGGUUGUUGUUUUUUUUUUAAGUAUACCGGUAUAUAGCCGAAUUUGUGGUGGGUUGCUAAUGUUGGGGGGGGGGGGGGGGGAUUUUUUUUUGUAAAAUUUUGCUAAAAUUUUAUUUGCUAUAUUCACGCCAUUGUCAGCAUACUACUGAUUUGAAACAUCAGCGACAUUUUGUUCGCUAAAGAAAACAUCCGCCAAUAUUACUGCCAUAUCUUUGAACAAGCAAAACGCCAAAUUUAACACCCGCUAAAAAUGACUGUAGACAGUUUUUGCACAAUUUUAGCAAGCAAAACACCAAAUUUAAUACCCGCCAAAUACCAUGAAAUCCUUUCAACAAGCAAAGCAUCAAAUGUGAUGCCUGCUUAAAGUUGUCUCCACUAGAAACUGGUCAGAAGAUGUGUUGUUGCAUUUAUUAUUUUCCCACUACCUGUAUUUUUUAUGUACUACAAAAUAACUGGAAGAAUGUUGAAUUCCGUUUUUAUUUCUUUAUGUGUAUUUUAUGAAUGUAUGCUUUAGAUAUUGUAUACAUAGAUAUUUUGACUAAGGAGCCAUCAUCCUUUAAAAAGACAUAAAACCUAUAUAUACAUGUAAAUUAUAUUAAUUUUCGAGUUGUCGUAUUUUUUUUAAACUGAACAGAAGUGAUAUCUUGAAUAUUUGUAACAAAUGAAUGUUUUUAUUGUUCAGUAUGAUUAAAAACAGUCUU
rnacentral:sRNA from 1 species